rnacentral:rRNA from 1 species
AACACAUGCAAGUCGAACGAAGUAGCAAUACUUAGUGGCAGACGGGUGAGUAACAUGUAGGUAUCUGCCCUUUGGCCUGGAAUAACACGAGGAAACUUGUGCUAAUACCGGAUAAGUCUUUACGGAGAAAGCUUUAUGCACCAUUGGAUGAGCCUGCACUUGAUUAGUUUGUUGGUGGGGUAAUGGCCUACCAAGACUGUGAUCAAUAGCUGAUUUGAGAGGAUGAUCAGCCACAUUGGGACUGAGACACGGCCCAAACUCCUACGGGAGGCAGCAGUGGGGAAUCUUGCACAAUGGAGGAAACUCUGAUGCAGCGAUGCCGCGUGAGUGAAGAAGGCCCUUGGGUUGUAAAGCUCUUUCGUCGGGGAAGAAAAUGACUGUACCCGAAUAAGAAGGUCCGGCUAACUUCGUGCCAGCAGCCGCGGUAAUACGAAGGGACCUAGCGUAGUUCGGAAUUACUGGGCUUAAAGAGUUCGUAGGUGGUUGAAAAAGUUAGUGGUGAAAUCCCAGAGCUUAACUCUGGAACUGCCAUUAAAACUUUUCAGCUAGAGUAUGAUAGAGGAAAGCAGAAUUUCUAGUGUAGAGGUGAAAUUCGUAGAUAUUAGAAAGAAUACCAAUUGCGAAGGCAGCUUUCUGGAUCAUUACUGACACUGAGGAACGAAAGC